GCGCGUCCCGAGCCCAGCCUCUCCGGGGAGGAGGGACCCGGCGGCGCGGCGUGGGUCGGGAGCGGGCGCCUGGGACUACUUCUCGUUUGAAAGUUUUCAGAGGCCAAAAGUUUGAGCCGGGGCUGCGGAAGGAUCCGGCUCUGGCGGUUGCCGCGCUCGGCGACAACUGGCGACUGAAAUUUGCAUGUGAAUAAGCGGAGGAGCCCGGGGCGGAAUGGGGAGGGCGAGGCCGCGGACAGCCGUGUGCACCGUGCGCUGGGCCGGGCGGGGAGCAGCUGAGGCCACGUUGGGGGACCCCGGGCCCGGGGCAGGGCUCUGGGAGAGUGGCCUAGCCGUGUGUGCGCCCCUAGCCCAGCGGCUUCACUCCCUCCCGAGGGCCCCGUGGCCGCGGCUUUAGGCGUCCAGAGGAUCGAUCGCCGCCAGACAUCCCUGGCCGUGAUUGCCCGAGCACUUGACCGCGAGGGAUGGGGGCGCCGCGGCCUCUGGGCAGGGGACUCCGGGCGCCCCGAGGGAGCAGCCGGGACCAGUGCCUCGCGGACGGAUUGUGCCCCGCUCCCCCAAGGGGGACCCGCGUCGACACGCUCCUCGGUCACCGUCCUCCUCCUGCCCGGGCGCCGCCUGCCUAAGGUGGCCCCAGAAAGCACAAACGGGUCGGGCGGAUCUGCCGCUGGCGCCGGCGCAGCCCUUCCCACGUGCUCCUUCCGGCUGAUUUAUUUCUCCACCACGAUGCCAGGCACGGGCACCCUGUGCCAAGCCUGGUUAAGCGCCAGGAGUCCAAAAUGCCUGCCAUAGUCCCUGCGCAAAGUUCACGGCCUCGUGCCAGGGACAGACAGCGCCCCCUCCCCACCCCAACACAGGGUGGUGAGUGCGAUGGCAGAAGGCGCGUGUCCCGGCGCCCCUCCUGGAGUAGGAGGGCUAAGCCUGCCCUGCGGGGAGACCGAAAGGCUGGGAGGGACCUAGGACUGUGGGGGCCUGGGGGGAGGGCUGCAGAAACCCCAGAGCAUGGUGGCAGAGGCAGGCACAGAAAGCAGGACAAAUCUCACACCUGACCCCAGCAAGCCUUUCCUGGCACACCUCUUGCCAAAUGCUGAGCACUCUGGAAACAGCCAGUGCAGGCGGCCUGUCCCGCCCCUGUAGCUGCUGCUGGGAGCCUCCCUCGCCUGCGUCCUCCCAGAAUCUGGCCUCACUUCUGCAGGCCUGGGGUAACAUCUUGGGGUCAGCGCCCCAGGAGAGGAGGCGCCUGGAGGCAGCAGAGAUGUUUAUGUAACAGCAGCCAGGCAGCCUGGAGGAGCAGAUUUUCCAUAGAAGGAAGCGCGGGGCUGUGCAGCUCCCAGGCUGAGGACUCUGCCCACCACGACGUCCUCUGCUCCUGAGAAGAGAGUGGCCCAUUCGGUGUCCACCCGUCAGGCCACCCAGCAGCCAGGCACGCUCAUAAGCCCGCGUUACGGAUGGUGCGGCCGGGUGCACAGGCCCGAGGGAAGCACAGGCCUCGGCCUCCCAGCUCCCAACCCCUGCACCACCCACAGCCGGGAGUACCCCAUGGACAGCUGUGGCCGAGGAGAAGCCAGGGAUGAGGGGGAUGGGCCUCACCUCCCCACCAGCCUGGGAAGGGGGUAGGCCCCUGGCAAGUAGGUGAGAAGCUUUUUCAUUCACAAGUUGUCCGGGCUCCCCAUUCCUCUUUGUCAGGCCAGCGGGUGUGGGCAGUCGGGGGAGGCUGGGGUCCUGACACAACAGGAGUACAUCUGCUGGCCUAGGGCCUGGAGACCUUCUCCUACAGGUCGGGAGGCAGCCCUGGGCAGCGGGCAUUGCGGGGACUAAAGAGAAACAAGAGCAGGUUGUGUGCAGGGCACCCCAGCCACUCCAGAAACCCAAUGGGAGGGUGGGGGCUAGGACCCCAAGAAGCUGAAUUGGGGUGCAGUGCCGCCAGGCCUCCCCUGUAGGAGUCACUUUGGGCUUCCUGUCCCAACUUGUGGUGGGAGCUGGGGCAAGGUUCCAGGGGUACCCCGAAUGAAUGGGGCUGUUCCCAAGCUGGCCAGGGAGCCUGGAAGCAGAUGAGAUGGGGCCGCAGAGCCUGGUUUGCGGAGGGGAGAGGCAGACGUGUCCUGCAGCCCUCUCUUCUUCAGAGGCCCCCUGCGGGUGCUGAGGGGAGAGUGGCUUAGGCGUUGCACCCCAGGAGACUGAACUGGGUCAGUUCCCCCUUGUUUGCUGCCAGAGAAAUGGGGGUACCAUUGUCAGGGUGAGCUAAGGAGGCCCUGCUGACAUUGGCCCAACCAGGCCCCUCCUUUGCGGCUGCUGUGGGGACUUUCGAGAGCAGAGCACACCCCUAAGUGCGUGGAGAGGUAAGCACAGCUGGUGAGCACACGGGGACAGCGACGGAGCUCAUGGAGACCCAGGUGACCUUAAAACACCCCAGGGCCGGCUCCGGCCCCAGAGAGAUGUGGUCCGAGUAGAGGGGGGUCAGCAGUGACCUGGUGGGUGGGUGUAUUUGAGGGGUGCCUGUGUUGAAAGCUCUGCAGUAGAUUCUAAGGAGCAGCCAGGGCUGAGACUCCCGGUGCUGAGCCCAAGGCCCCUUUCCUUCCUGCAGGAGUUCAUCUUGGCUCUUGCAGCCCCCAUGACCCUGUGGCGCUGGGGGGCGGCUAGCAUGAUGCUCCCCAUUUUUCAGGAGGGAAGCUGAGGCUCAGAGACAUCAUGAGGAUGCCAGCUCAAGGCCCAGCCAGGCCUUGGUCCUCAGCUGCUGUCAUCCAGUAGGGUAAGUGGGACCCCCAGGAGGUGUUGGGGGACACUCCUCCCCUCCCCCACACUCACAGUCUGUUCACCGCCCAAGGCAGCAGGCUGGACUCGGUGCAGGGACCAUGGCUUGGCGUGGCCAGGUUGGAGUGGCCCCUGGGACUGAAAGCAGGGGGCGUGGGGGCUCUGAGGCGGGGCCGAGUGCGGGGACGUCCUGUGGCGGGUACCCUGCUGGGUCCUGGGUGGGGGCCACCACCAGGCAGCUGUGGGAACAUUCCAGACCACCUAGGAGUAGGGCCCCUUCACCGUUUGAAGCUGACUGUAAAAAACAUCUGACCUGUGUGCAAAGCUCAAGCCCAGAGGCCUCCAGGGUGUCCAGCCUCCAGGGUGCCUCCUACGCAGCCUCCACGUCCCCAUCCACUGCAGCCCCUGACCAUCGGGCACACCGUGGGGCCUUCGCUGGCCGCCGGGCCUCAGGUUCUGCUGCACCAAGUGAUUUUUAAAGCCCCAUCUGCCUUUCUCCACUUAUAAAGAACUUGGGACAUUUCCUCGAGGUUGGGCAUUUUUCCAGAUGUGGUUUCAGUGUCUCGCUUGCUACCUGGUCCCCUGUGCUGGGCGGUCCGCUGUGACGCACCUGGCAGUCCUUGCUCUAGGAUGGAUUCGGGCCGGCCCUUGUUCUGAGAACAGAGAACGGCCCUUGUUCUGAGGAGGCUGGGGUCUGGAAUCUGCUUCCUGGUCCCCUGCUGUGUGCAGACAGCCACCGUCACCCAGGCCCAGGGGUGCCUGCAGGUGCUGGGCAUCUCACCCUGGCCCCCACAGGGGCUCCCCAUGCCCUGCACCCCUCGGUCUGUGCCGGGGACUUCCCUGCUCUGCUGUUGCAGGCCUCGUCCUUUGCCGAGGGGGUCUCUUUCCCACGUGUCCCUGAGACUCCUCAGCCAUCCCAGAGGCUCUCGGCCGUCUGAGCACCCCUGACCAUGAAGCCUUCCUGGCCCACUCUCUGUGUGUGAGGCAGAGCCCAUCCCUACCAUUCCGACCCACACCAGAGGCUCCGGAAGGUUUGCUGACUGACCUGUGACUGCAAGAAGCUGAAGGAAUGUGGGCGCAGACCCGGCAGGGGCUUUUCUUGGUGCAAAGUCAACUGGCUGUCCAUGCAAGCCUGCUGCUGUGGCCAGCCCUCCCGCCAGGCGCCUGGUACCCUCCCUGGACCCAGUUGCCAGGACAGUGAUCCCCAGCUGUGGCCAGGACUCUGCCCGGGGCCCUGUCUACUCAGUGUCUCCAGUGGUCCCCAUGCAGAAACUGCCCCCCUUGCUGCCCAUGAGGCAUGGGAUAGGGUCAGCAUCCGAGAGGCAGGCCCUGCUGUUCCCCUCUGCACAGAGGCUGGGGGAGUGAGUUGCCCGGGCAAGUCCCCGGGCAGGCACUGGGCCUCCUGAGCAGGUGAGCUGAGAAGGCCCCAGCUGGUGUAGGCCUCGAGAGCUG
rnacentral:lncRNA from 10 species